GGCAGCACGAAGAAGCUUGCUUCUUUGGUGGCGAGUGGCGAACGGGUGAGUAACACAUCGGAAUGUACCGUUUAGUGGGGGACAACUUCAGGAAAUUGAAGCUAAUACCGCAUACGAACUAAGGUUGAAAGCAGGGGACCCUCGGGCCUUGCGCUAAACGAGCAGCCGAUGGAAGAUUAGCUAGUUGGUGGGGUAAAGGCUCACCAAGGCGACGAUCUUUAGCGGGUCUGAGAGGACGAUCCGCCACACUGGAACUGAGACACGGUCCAGACUCCUACGGGAGGCAGCAGUGGGGAAUUUUGGACAAUGGGGGCAACCCUGAUCCAGCAAUGCCGCGUGAGUGAAGAAGGCCUUCGGGUUGUAAAGCUCUUUUGUUAGGGAAGAAAAGGUAGCUAAUAAUACUAGCUGCUGAUGACGGUACCUAAAGAAUAAGCACCGGCUAACUACGUGCCAGCAGCCGCGGUAAUACGUAGGGUGCAAGCGUUAAUCGGAAUUACUGGGCGUAAAGCGUGCGCAGGCGGUCUCGUAAGUCAGAUGUGAAAUCCCCGAGCUCAACUUGGGAACUGCAUCCGAAACUGCGAGACUAGAGUGUGUCAGAGGGAGGUAGAAUUCCACGUGUAGCAGUGAAAUGCGUAGAUAUGUGGAGGAAUACCAGUGGCGAAGGCGGCCUCCUGGGAUAACACUGACGCUCAUGUACGAAAGCGUGGGGAGCAAACAGGAUUAGAUACCCUGGUAGUCCACGCCCUAAACGAUGUCAACUGGUUGUUGGGUCUUCAUUGACUUAGUAACGAAGCUAACGCGUGAAGUUGACCGCCUGGGGAGUACGGUCGCAAGAUUAAAACUCAAAUGAAUUGACGGGAACCC
rnacentral:rRNA from 1 species